AUUAGAACCCCUGUUAAUUAAUUUGUCACCGACAAGUCGACAUUUCUUUUUAAACUAUACGCUUCCUUUCUACUCAUCUGUAGCCUGAUUGGAGGAAAGCAGCUCUUUAAAAACCUCUCUUCAUAACAGGAAACUGCUAUCCCUCUUUCCUGCACAACAAGCAAUGCUUCCUUAGCAACACAUGAACAAAGGUGUCAGACAUACCUCAUAUUUCCCCAGUGAAGAGAACAUGAAGGAAAUAUGGCAUCAGCACUCUUAGGCAACUCAAAAGCACAGCUACAGAAACAACCCUCUCACCUUCCCCCAGUCUCUCAACCACCGCCACGCUUCUGCUAAAAGACAGGUGAAGCCAGGAGUCAGCACUUCAUCAAAAAUAGCAAACAAAAACCUCCCUGUGGAGCCCAAGACCUCUUCAGCCAAAUCAAUACAACACCACUGGCCAUGGUUAAGAGAGAAUGUAUAUGUGUAGUUAAAAAUUAUAGAGCUACUAUAAUAGUCUAUAUUGCUGCAGUUGUACCCUUGAAUUCAUAACAUCCCUACUUGAAAUACUUUUAAUAUGUCACAAUAUGUAAAUGUUGCACAGCUUUCUUUCAUAAGUUGCAUUUGCUUGUACAAUGAUUUUGCUAUUAAGGAUGGUUAAUGUUAUUUUCGGAUCCAGAGUGUGGAAAAUAACUUUUGCUGAAGUACCUGUAAUUGGAGAGGGAGACAGCAGGAUUAGUAAGAUGUUCAGUAAGGGAUAUUUACAGCCAGCUGGUUAAUAAUGCAGAAUAAACCUAACAAAUUAAUCAGGGUUGUAUGUUAUCCGGCUUAUUAUUAAUACUUGCUUC